rnacentral:rRNA from 1 species
UGGGGAAUAUUGGACAAUGGGCGAAAGCCUGAUCCAGCCAUGCCGCGUGUGUGAAGAAGGUCUUCGGAUUGUAAAGCACUUUAAGUUGGGAGGAAGGGCAGUAAGCGAAUACCUUGCUGUUUUGACGUUACCGACAGAAUAAGCACCGGCUAACUCUGUGCCAGCAGCCGCGGUAAUACAGAGGGUGCAAGCGUUAAUCGGAAUUACUGGGCGUAAAGCGCGCGUAGGUGGUUCGUUAAGUUGAAUGUGAAAGCCCCGGGCUCAACCUGGGAACUGCAUCCAAAACUGGCGAGCUAGAGUAGGGCAGAGGGUGGUGGAAUUUCCUGUGUAGCGGUGGAAUGCGUAGAUAGAGGAAGGAACACCAGUGGCGAAGGCGACCACCUGGGCUCAUACUGACACUGAGGUGCGAAAGCGUGGGGAGCAAACAGG